CGAGCCCGGCGAGCUCCGAGCCCCGCGCCGGCCAGCAGCGCCCCGGCUCCGCGGGCAGCCAGAGUCUGAGCGGUGAGCAGUGGCUGCAGCUCCGGGCCUGAGGCAGGGACCAAUCGGAAGGAAUGAUGUAGCAGAAUCUCCCUCUCUGCCUUCCCCAGCCUGAUCAUGUGGACGGAGCCAGGCAUUGUUGAGACCCUACACGACACAGUCCCUCUUAAUUUCUCAGAGAGGAGGAGAAGAGCAAGGAAGAAGGAGAGAUUGAGACUGAAAGAUGGCUGCCAGAGAGGCACCUCUAGGCUAAUGUAUUGAUCGCCAGCUAGUGCCCAUACGUGGGAGUGAUCUAUGGGCGUUAUUUCUGCGUAGAGCCCACGUCCUCUCCUAGCUCUGGGCGCAGAGUCCUCGACUGGUUCCUGGCACCUUUACGGAGCCAAAGCGCAAACAAGUGAACACAAAUCUCUAUGCCCAAGUGCAAGGCUGGUUUGAGCAGGGCGCUGGGGACAUUCAUUGUGGGCUCCUGCAGGACCCUCUCUCCAAGCAGCUGCAGAGCUCAGACAGAAUUGGCCCGUCAUGGGGGCCCAGACGAGAGAGGACUGAUUGCCCGCGUCUCCUUGCCAUGAGUCCAUGUCAGAACGGCACAGCUGCUCCGAAAGGCAUGGGCUGCAAACCACAAAUGAUGCUCGUUGGGAUGGUGCUCACCGUACUCAUUGUGGUCACCAUCUGCGGCAAUGUGGUUGUCUGCCUGGCUGUCUCCUUCAACCGCAAGCUCCGCAGCCUGACAAACUGCUUCAUCGUCUCCUUGGCCAUCACCGAUCUGCUGCUGGGCCUCCUGGUGCUGCCCUUCUCCGCCAUCUACGAGCUCACGCGCGAGUGGCACUUCGGCCCCACCUUGUGCAACAUCUACACCAGCCUGGACGUCAUGCUGUGCACGGCCUCCAUCCUCAACCUCUUCAUGAUCAGCAUAGACCGGUACUACGCCAUCACAGCCCCGCUCCGCUACACCCAGCUGGUCACCCCUCUGCGGGUGGCCGUGGCCAUGUUCGUCAUAUGGGUGGUCUCGCUGAUGGUCUCCUUCCUACCUAUCCACCUGGGCUGGAACACCAAUGGCACCGACGUGCAGAACACAGGCGUGAACAAUAGCUUGGUGUGCAAGCUGGCGGUCAAUGCCGAGUAUGGGCUGGUGGAUGCCUUGCUCACCUUCUACCUUCCCUUGGUUGUUAUGUGCAUCAUGUACUACCGCAUUUUCCGAAUAGCCAGGGAGCAGGCCAAGAGGAUCAGCCAUGCCACCUGCUGCAAGGCCGCCAGCCCUGCGCUGCUCACUGUGAAAGAGCACAAGGCCACAGUGACACUAGCAGCUGUGCUGGGGGCUUUCAUCAUCUGCUGGUUCCCUUAUUUCACAGUAUUCACUUACCGAGGGAUGAAGGGGGACAAGGUGGAUGACAUGUCCCAGUCCAUAGUUUUAUGGCUGGGCUAUGCCAACUCAGCCCUGAACCCCAUCCUGUAUGCUGCUCUGAACAGGGACUUCCGGACAGCCUACCAGCGCCUGUUCCACUGUCGAAGGGUGGGGCCCCUCUCCAGGAGCACUCCCCUCACCCCUACACAUCUGCCCCACGCCAGGGCGAGAGCCCGCAAGCAAGCACGGUGCAUGCAGGAAGAAAAGCCUCUGAGGAUGCAGGUGCGGAAUGGGAAGGAGAACUCACUCACUCGAGAAGCCACAGAAAGCUCUGGAGUUUUCCCCUGAGUCUUGGCCAGCCCGCUGCAGUAGGCUCCGCUCUGGGACACGCACUCUCAGCCUUUGAUUCCUGGCUGUCCUCCUCCAAAAGCCAACGAGGACAAACGUUAGAAGGUCACAGUUAGAUUUGCCACUGGGGGAAGCCUAAAGGCAGAGAUGGGGCCACUGGGAGUCCCACCCCAUCUGGCUCAUCAUCCUCCACCAUCCUGUCCUGCUGGAGAGGCCUCUGGCUGGCCAAGUUCCUUCCCAAG